ensembl:lncRNA
CUGGUGGGAAUGCAGCCUGGGGAGCAGAGCCUGCCUACACAUUACAACUGUUUGGGUACAUAACAGCUGGUACUGUGUCCUGCUAGCAAAUAAAAGCCUCUAUUCUAAGUUACAGUGAGCCCGAGCUGCCCUGGCCCCAUUUCCCCAUGGCUGUUGCAAGCUCUGUUUUUCGUUUGCAUGCAAUGAGCACUAGAGGGCUGCAGAGAACUGCUUUUGCAGUUGCAGACGCUGACAUUAAUGCAGGACGCAGUUUUUCCCUGCCAGUUGCUCCAGUCCUUGAAGGAAAGCAGGCAGCAGGAGUGCAGGAUGGGAUGGUUUGGUUUUCCUCACCUGGGAAUAGGAGGUGGGUGUCGUUGGGAUGCAGCCAUUGAGGAGAGGCACUGUGAGAUGUUCUGCUGCAAUGAAGCAAAAUAAUUCAGGUUCAUCUCCAGUCUGACCCCCUUCAUUUUGCUGAUUUCACCGUGGCCCCACGGCUGCGUAGUUUUUGCUUUCUCCCGUGACCCAUUUGGAAACUUUUUUCUUGCCAGUCAUUUCCAACUGCUGAGAACCUGUCAAGCAAACCCAAAUUGUAUAGAGAGCUAUCAAAUUUAUACCCCUUUUCGUCACUUUCAGGUUUGUAAUGCUACUCAUGGAAUAGAAUGGAGUAGAGUAGAGUACAGCAGAGUAUGGUAGAGUGGAGUAGAGUAGAGUAAAGUAGAAUAGAAUGGAGUAGAGUGGAAUAGAAUGGAGUAGAGUAGAAUGGAGUAGAGUAGAAUGGUGUACAGUAGAAUAGAAUGGAGUAGAGUGGAGUAGAAUGGAGUAGAGUAGAAUAGAAUGGAGUAGAAUGGUGUACAGUAAAGCAGAAUAGAAUGGAGUAGUGUAGAGUACAGUAGAGCAGAGUAGAAUGGAGUAGGUAGAAUAGAAGGGAGUAGAGUAGGGUAGAAUUGAGUAAUGUAGGAUAGAAUGGAGUAGAGUAGGGUAGAAUUGAAUAGAGUAAUGUAGGAUAGAAUGGAGUAGAGUAGAGUAGAGUAGAAUGGAGAAGAGUAGAGUAGAAUAGAACAGAGUAGAGUGAGUAGAGCAGAGUGGAGUAGAAUAGGAUGGAGCGGAGUACGGUAGAGUAGAGUGGAAGAGUAUGGGAGAGAAUGGUUUGGGUUGGAUCUUAAGCAUCCAUCUCCUUUGUGCUCACAGUUUCUCCUGAGUUUUAUUUUUAUCAGAUAUUUUCUGUUGGAAUCUUCAUUACUGUUUUGAUGCCCGAAGUCAUCAAUAAAAGCAGGAAGCCAAGCAGCGCCGGGCUCUGAAGAUCUUCCAAAGACCUCUUUUCAACCUCAGUUACUGCAAGCUUCUCACCUUAAAACCAGCUGGUCCAGAGAUUCUAUCCUUCUCCUUCCCAGUGUAGAUGACAAAAGCUGGCUUCCCCUGGUAGGGAAGGAGAGUGCUGCAUCCCAUCUAAAUGCCUUCAGCGGAGCAGGUUUCCUUCUGCUAGCCAACGAAAUGCAUACCAAUCACUCCUUGGUUUCUUUUCUGUUAUUGUUUUUUUUUUGCAAUCACACCUAAUUCUAAAUACUUGAAAAUCUGGCCAUGAAAGCUUUGGGUGGGAAAAAAAAAAGCUCCACACGUAUAUAAAUACUUUUUUUUUCUUAUUUAAAAACGUAAUUAUACAGACACAGCGGGACAGAAUUUACAGUAUAAUUAUGCAAACAGGAGUCACCGAGGCCAGCGUCUGCUCCUCAGUCGAGACAGGCAACAUCUCCGCCUGCAGUAACCCUAUUAGCAGCAGCUGUUGAAUAAUACAAGUUCCCUAUAUUUGCUUUAGGGUGCAAUUCACCCAUCUGCAGAGGGUCAGCACCAGAGCUGUGUUCUAGUGAAGUCUUAUUUAAUACCUGUAAGCAAGGCAUAAGUGAUGCAUGGCCUUGCACGGCUGCUCUAUGUGGGGGUCUCUUUACGUGCCUUCUCCCUGCUCGAUACCAAAUGGAAAAUCAUCUCCUGCAUUUCGCUCUGUUUUCUCUUGCUGCAUCUUCAGAAAGGCAGCUCACACUUGGGUGCUGCCAACCAACUUUGUGCACUAAAAAAAAAAACACCCAACGCAUGUAAAUCUACAUGCAUCAUUUUGGAUGGAACCAUCACCGCACUGCACUGCAGGAAUGGGGAGUGGCGAAGGGGGAAAUGAGGAAAGAAUGGGAAAAUACGAGGUGGAUAAAACCACAACUGAAAGACAAGGGCAGUUUUGAACGCUGGACCUUGCAGCUUCUGAGUUUUCUGCUCUCACAACAAGAAAUCAGAAUGCUCAACAGAGGGAAAUCGCUGCUUCCAGCAGAAAACAGCCUCAUGGCAAUGUGUUGACCACCAGCCGUGCUGGUAAGGAACUAACUCUUAUGAUGGGAGAUGAGAUGUAGGCUGUGCAGGUUUGGUGCAUAUGGCCAAAUUUAACCUGGCUGCUCCUCCAACCCCUCUGCUUUGCUCUGUCGUAGCAAAAGGCGUUUUGAGCGCAUUCUCCUUCCUGCAGCUUGCCAGCAGAUGGCACGUACACACCGCGAGAGGUGGGAGGAAGCAAAGGGUCAGCAGAGGUAGGCCCUGAGCCUGGAAGUGAGCUGAGAUCCCCUGGAAGGCCCCUUGGUCACCUUGUCCAAGGGAGGAGGUGAUGCUGGAGCUAUGCUUCCCAUGGGGUUGUGUCUGUUCCAAGUGACCUCCAAUUGAAACGGGAACAUUUCUGUGUUCAGGUGGAUGAUGAGGUAGGCCAUCAGACUGGACAUGCUGAAAAAGCAAUGUUUUCUCUCCAACCCUUUGUGUGAGUCUGAAUACCAAGCGUGGCUGAGCCAGUUCUAUGGGAACCACUCACCCCUCUGCUUGUGGAUAGCUUGAAUUGGUUGAUGCUGACGCCGUGCUGAGCUUCCAGUGAGGGGAGAUGCUGCGAGUGAGACCUGGGCACAAGGCAGGACAAGGACAGUGUCACACCUCUGCCACUGCCCCUCAGCCCCCAGCAUCCUCUAUGAGUUUGACACCAAGAGGUGACAGCGUGGGGAGCAGUGGGGAUGGCACAUCCAUCUGCUGGACAGCCAGAAAAGGUCACAACAUCCAGCAGUUACCAACCUGCCUCAUCUCACCGCUGCCUACUGCUUCUCAGGUGCUGACGGGGAGCUGAUGCUCACUCCUGCUAUUUCUGGAUGACCCCAAGGCCAUUUUGCCUUUAUUCCAGCACUGGGGAAGGCUCAGCAAAUUGUGUCACCCACUGCAGUGCUGCUGUCUUCUCCAGCUCCCUGAGCACCAAGCAGACCCAUCCAAGGAUUCAAAGGGCAAGCUGAAAAAGAGCUCAAGUCUCUCCUGCAUCUCAUGGCACCUGGGCACGGCAGGUGUCACCUGGUGGGAGAUGUCCUGCCUUGAAUCAGGGAUAAAAGCUGAAAACUCCUCUUCAAACAAAUAUGUUUGAGUCAUUCUCCCUCCCCCCCUUCCCCCCCCCCCCCCCCCCCCCCCCCCCCCCCCCGACCUGCGAGCCUGGUUUUUAUGUACCGUGGUAAAUGCUAUGCCUUGAAAAGACCCACACAUGAAUAAAAAAUCAGGCUGUCACUCUGCCGUGCUCCUUUUAAAGAGAAAUUGCUUAAAGCAGCAAGAAGGAUGUCUAAUCUUGGGAAUCUGGAGCCAGUGUUUGCGAAGCGGGGGAGGUGGGGGUCACUGCAGUUUAUGCUCAUGAAUAAUGCAUCUGACAUUGUAGCCAUGCAAAUGGAACCUAACAAACUCCAACCUAAAUAAAAAUCUUGGUUGUUAUGUCAGGGUUUUUGUGUUGUUGUUGUUUUUUUUUCUUUUGCCUGGCCUCUCCUCCCAGCUCUCCCUUGGAUUUUGGGCACAAACGUUGGGCAACUGAAGAGGUGGGAGUGGGCGAUCAGUGGGGAGUAUGGAGCGCCCUUACAAAUCAUGGCAUGGAAUCACAGACUCAUAGAACGGCUUGGGUUGGAAGGGACUUGAAAGAUCAUCAAGAUCCUGGAGCUUGGAGCCAUCCUAUAAGUAGAAGACAGGACGUAUACAGCACAGGGCUCUGCUCCUAGGUGGGAUUUCUUUCUUCUUCUACAGGGUGAUGAGGGACUGCUGCCCAGAGGAGCUGUGGGUGCCCCAUCCCUGGAGGUGCCCAAGGCCAUGGGUGGGAUUCUGGGCAUCCUGAGCUGGUGGGGGGCACCCAGAUCACAGCAGGCAUGGAACCGGAUGAUCUUCCAGGUCCUUUCCAACACAAGCCAUAGUAGGAUUCCAUGACUUCUAUGGGAAUGACUGAGAAAUAGUCAGCAUUAGGAACCUUACUCUGUGAAUGGGCUGUUCUAGAGCAAACUAUUCCAUUUUAAUGGAAUUAUUCCAUUUAGAGCAAACUGCUCCAUUUUAUGGCCCUGUUAACAGCCAGAAGUGAAGUGGGACUGUCGGAUUUGGGAUAGUUGGUUUAACCCCUCUCCAUCCUUCAGUCUGCUCAUCCCAUGCUCAGUGCUGAGGCUGGUGGGUGGCUUUUGGGUGAAGCACAGGGAUAGAGGAGUAGAAGUGCCAUGAUGGGAUGCCAUGGGAGGUAUUUUUAGUGCCUGAGAAAUAUUAUGAUAAAGCAGUGGAUACCUUUCAAUCAUUUUACAAACCUGUAUUGACUGGAAGCACUCCAAAGCCAAUGGAAAAAUAGAAGAUGCUUAAUUCAGAGACUGAGCCGGGGUGAGUGCAGCCCCUUUCCAAUCACUGGAUCUUUCUCCUUGCCUUCAACAAACUCACAAAUGGAUUGCCCAAAGGGAUACAAAGCCAAAAGCUGCAGACCUUAUUUCUCUGCUGAGCUAACCUUUACAGCUCUGAUGAACAAUAUUUUACACAGCUAUUGCUUGAACAGAAGUCACUGCAUUGUUUUUUAUACCUCUGUCUCCUGUCAGGAAGGAGCUAGAGUAAAUUCUCCUUGGACAGCUCACGAAAUCCUGACCCGAGUGCUGAUCAUUGCUGUGUUUUCUCAACUCAGAGCACAGGCAAGGAUGUGCGGAAGGUUAUUGAUGAGCCCAGAGCAGCUUUCACCUUCUUUUUUUUUGUCAGUUAUAUAUGCCUGGCUCUGGCUGCGCAGUGCCUUUCUGUUUGAACCAGUAACACGACCUGACAGCAAGGCAUUCCCAUCUAAACAGUUGGGUCCAUGUCUAUCUGCCAGCUGUUUCUGCACUGAGAUAAACCAUGCCAGCUCGAUCUUUGCAGUGCAGCAGAGAAUGGGAAUAGGUCCUUCUGCUACAGCCCAGACUGCUCCAAUGGGCUCCACUGAAGACCAUGGGAACCCAUGGGUUUGCCCAGCACCUCAUCCAUGCAAUUGCUUGCUUCUUAGCAGCUCCAGUCCCCUCCUGGCCUCUGCCAGCUCUGCUCCAGCCCACACUCGUACCAAGGGGCACUGAGUGAUGAGAUUUCAUCAAGGACUCUUCCUGUGGGAUGGCCAAUGUCAAUCCUUCGUUGAUUCCCAUGGUGAGGAGGAUGGUCAGUGUCAGUCCUUAAUUGACUCCCAUGAUGAAGAUGAUGGCCAAUAUUAAUCCUUGAUUGAUUCCGAUGGUGAGGAGGAUGUCCAGUGUCAACCCUCGGUUGAUUCCCACAGUGAGGAAGAUGGUCAUUGUCAAUCCUUGGUUGACUCCCACAGUGGGGAUGAUGGCCAGUGUAAAUUCUUGGUUGACUUCCACAAUGAGGAGGAUGGUCAAUGUCAAUCCUUGGUUGAUUCCCACAGUGAGGAAGCUGUACAUAGAACACCAGAGGGAGAUUUACACUUUCCAUAAGUUGUCAAUCCUGACUCCUGGACCCCAGGAAAGCACAUUUGGAAGAGCAGGCAAGAAAGAUGUCCAAUCUUGGUGCUAGAUAUCUGCGCUUCAUACCAUAGCAUCUCUGCACUCAUCAGUGCGGGGCUGUGGAGAGAUGAGGGCACCUGUCACACACAAGGGUGGAAUAUGGGAAUUUGUGUCCUAUAACGAUGCUCUGACAAAGCUGAGUUACUAGGUCAAGAAAAAAAAUAAGGUGGUGUAGCAAGGAUGUGUUUUGGGUAAGCAGAAAGCGUCAGCUGCAUCAUCCUAACCUGACUGAAUGAUGGAGAAUUACAAGCUAGCAGCAACGCAGUUAAUGCAGGCAUUAAGGACGUUACAGAAGGGGUAGCUCUAAGUAAAUCUUUCAUGUAAUUAACGGUACAGUUCUGCAAAUUAGUGGAAAUUACAUAUUGAAAUGCUUGGACGCCAGCCACAGUGGAGGGAACGCGCUGACUUCUGUCUGAUCUCAGAGCCUGGCUGCCUUUUAUCUGCCAAAUACUUGAAUAGAAAACUACCUGGAAACCCAGCCAGUGUUUGGCGCAACAUGAGAACUGAGCAGAAGGCCACGGAAACAAAAGUGAGUGCAGGGACCGCACUCGAAGCCAUUCUUGUGGCUGAAUUCCCAUGGGAGAACAAAACCAAACAAAGAACGGAGCCCAAAAACCACAGACUGUAAUGCAGUGAUAUCACAGGUUAGAAUCUUUCCAUCCUCUCCUUUGCUUCAAUCCUGGCUCCUUAAACACGAGGAACUGUGCACGGGAAAGCACACAAGGAAUGAGUCACACUCAAAUAUUUGGAUGUUUACGUCUCUAUC